GAGCUGUAGCUCAGUGGUAGAGCAUCUGUUUUGCAUGCAAAAGGUCCCAAGUUCAACCCCCAACAGCAUCU